rnacentral:rRNA from 1 species
AUGAACACAAUUCUUUCCCAGCCAGCAAACCCAAUCAAAGCAUCCAAAUGGAAAGCCACACAUAUCAUGACACGACAGAGAUUUUACUUAAUGGAUAACGAAACGUCAGGUAGAACAGACUACCCAGACCCAACGGACUUGACAUGGCAAGAGUACAUUCAUACGAGUUCAACAGGGGCACGACGGCCUCAAAAGUCCAUUCACUUCGUCACGGGGUGGGGUGAUACUUUGGCUGGUUAUUUAGGUGAUAACGGUUCUUGGGCCCGGCGCAUCCAUGGUCACCAGCUGGCCGUCCAGGCUCUAGCCCAUGGCGUACUUCUGCGUCCAGGAGCGCGCCGUGGACUCGUACUUGGCCCGAUCAGUCUUGUACAUGUGAGCGAUCUCGGGCACCAGAGGAUCAUCGGGGUUCGGGUCCGGGUAAUCCGGUGGGAAAUGAAUGUUCACCAAAAAUAG